CCUACGGGUGGCAGCAGUGGGGGAUAUUGCACAAUGGGGGAAACCCUGAUGCAGCGACGCCGCGUGUGGGAAGACGGUCCUCUGGAUUGUAAACCACUGUCCCCAGGGACGAAGUUGACGGUACCUGGGGAGGAAGCUCCGGCUAACUACGUGCCAGCAGCCGCGGUAAUCCGUAGGGAGCGAGCGUUGUCCGGAAUUACGGGGGGUAAAGGGAGCGUAGGCGGGGAUGCAAGUUGGGUGUCAAAACUACCGGCUCAACUGGUAGUCGCACUUAAAACUGCAGCGCUUGAGUGAAGGAGAGGCAGGCGGAAUUCCUAGUGUAGCGGUGAAAUGCGUAGAUAUUAGGAGGAACACCAGUGGCGAAGGCGGCCUGCUGGGCUUUAACUGACGCUGAGGCUCGAAAGUGUGGGGAGCAAACAGGAUUAGAUACCCCUGUAGUC
rnacentral:rRNA from 1 species